UUGUAUACGCAUUGGCGGCUGAAGGCGCUAUUCGUCGCAAGCGGCGGCAAUGCGUCGGUUUUGCAACGUAUUUUACAGCAUUAAUUAUUUCGGAUUACAUCGUACGAUAUUUUCAAAAUAAACUAGGAGCAUUAGCAUAACUAUGUAACGUUAUAAUAUGUUUUAAACUCUGUUAUGGCCUGUAUUUCGUGAUUUAUGAUAAAAUAAAUAACGUAGGCGGUUUCGUCGGCUAGAACGGCCGCUAUGAGAUCAUCAAAGACGCCAACGGCCGCACCUAUAGUUUACAAACUAUAAGAAAAUAAUACUUUAAAUAUCGAACAAUACGUUCUGGUAACAUUUAAAGUCUUUGUAAAUAAAAAUUGAGUACUUUUAUUGCGUUAUUCUAUUACUUCAACCUAUGUGUAAUAGAGUAAAACGAACAAAUCGAAAUAAAAAAUCACGAUUGGCGGUUAGGAGACCGUUGACGCCGACAACGGCGGCUACAACAGCGGUAUCGGCGGCCCGGUACAAAAGGGGCUGCUAUAAAUUCCCAGCUCAGUCCUCCUUGCUUAUACGUGCAGUUACAAUACUGAAUUUUGUUCGUAGAUACUAACAAUUUUCUAGUAUCUUUCUUAAAAUCUCAGAUAACAUUGUGGCAACGAAACGUGCAUCAAUAUUAUACAUUACAAAAAUGUUGGACUUUUACGUUGUAAUAUUUUGUUGCAACAAGACCAUCGAUUACAUAUUUUAUCUUAUUCGAUUUAUAAUUAUAUCGAAUAUGUUAAGCUUCCUUUGUUUCUUUACUUUGCCUAAAAAUUAUAAAAAUUUUGAAUAGUAUUGCAUAUUUAAUGUAAAAUAUGUAGACAUAUCGAUUUUUCUAUGUGAGUACAAUUAACAUUCAUCUUGUCAUAGAUCCGCUGUAACAUUACAAUCAUGCGAGCGAGCAUAUUUAUCAUUCUGGCCUUCGCCGCCGGAAUUAUCGUAGCGACAUCUAGAAAUCGUAAUUAUUCUGAUUUCGUAAAAUAUACGAGACCGCGAGAAAUCCGAAAUUCUGAUGAUUCAGUCAAUCCUGGUAGAAAACAAAUUAUGGCAUAUGGUUUUGGAAAAAGGUGGGGAUAUGGUUUUGGAAAAAGGUGGGGAUAUGGUUUUGGAAAAAGGAAAAAUACUGUUGAUAAAACGUUGACGGAGGGUCCGGAAGGGGAAUCAAAUGAAAAGCGGGGUGUUGCAGUUGGGUUUGGAAAAAGGAAAAGUACUGUUGAUGAUCCAAACAUUAUUAAACACGAACAAAUUACACUUUUACGAUACUUUCCGGAAGGGAUACCUGUGGAGUGGCUACUUCAGCAAAUAAAAACAAACCCAACUUUUGCUGCAAAAUUAACGCAGUUGUUAAUAGAUGAGCAUGCUGAUUCGUCAAUGGUAGAUGAUUAUUGAAUGAUCAACUGAUG